CCCUUGUCUCGUCAACUAGAACUAUGUCGUCCGCAAAUAGCAUACACCAUGGCAUCUCCCCUUGAAUAUGGUGUGUCAAAGCAUCCAUCACCAAGGCAAAUAAGAACGGGCUAAGCGCUGAGCCUUGGUGUAAUCCCAUAACAACCGGGAAAUGCUCCGAGUCGCCUUCCACCGUCCUAACCUUAGUCUUAGCUCCAUCAUACAUGUCCUUGAUCGCUCGUAUGUAGGCUAUCGGUACGCCCUUCGCCUCAAGACAUCUUCAAGGUAAUCCCAUAACAACCAGGAAAUGCUCCGAGUCGCCUCCCACCAUCCUAACCUUAGUCUUAGCUCCAUCAUACAUGUCCUUGAUCACUCGUAUGUAGGCUACCGGCACGGCCUUCGCCUCAAGGCAUCUCCAGAGCACCUCGCUAGGAACCUUAUCACACGCUUUCUCCAAGUCAAUAAACACCAUGUGUAGAUCCUUCUUUUUAUUCCUGUACUGUUCCACCAACCUCCUAAUAAGGUGGAUAGCUUCCGUAGUGGAGCGACCCGGCAUGAACCCAAACUGAUUGUCAGAUACAGACGUCGUCUUC
rnacentral:lncRNA from 1 species